rnacentral:rRNA from 1 species
CAGCAGCCGCGGGAAUACGUAGGUCCCGAGCGUUGUCCGGAUUUAUUGGGCGUAAAGCGGGCGCAGGCGGUUAGAUAAGUCUGAAGUUAAAGGCUGUGGCUUAACCAUAGUACGCUUUGGAAACUGUUUAACUUGAGUGCAAGAGGGGAGAGUGGAAUUCCAUGUGUAGCGGUGAAAUGCGUAGAUAUAUGGAGGAACACCGGUGGCGAAAGCGGCUCUCUGGCUUGUAACUGACGCUGAGGCUCGAAAGCGUGGGGAGCAAACAGGAUUAGAUACCCCGGUAGUCCCUGUCUCUUAUACA